rnacentral:rRNA from 1 species
GACGAACGCUGGCGGCGUGCUUAACACAUGCAAGUCGAACGGUAAGGCCCUUCGGGGUACACGAGUGGCGAACGGGUGAGUAACACGUGGGUGAUCUGCCCUGCACUUCGGGAUAAGCCUGGGAAACUGGGUCUAAUACCGGAUAGGACUCCUGGCUUCAUGGUUGGGGGUGGAAAGCUUUUGCGGGGUGGGAUGGGCCCGCGGCCUAUCAGCUUGUUGGUGGGGUAAUGGCCUACCAAGGCGACGACGGGUAGCCGGCCUGAGAGGGUGACCGGCCACACUGGGACUGAGAUACGGCCCAGACUCCUACGGGAGGCAGCAGUGGGGAAUAUUGCACAAUGGGCGCAAGCCUGAUGCAGCGACGCCGCGUGAGGGAUGACGACCUUCGGGUUGUAAACCUCUUUCAGCACCGACGAAGCGCAAGUGACGGUAGGUGCAGAAGAAGGACCGGCCAACUACGUGCCAGCAGUCGCCGUAA